ACAUUUACAAACGUCGCGCUGUCGCGCGAAC
rnacentral:sRNA from 1 species